rnacentral:sRNA from 1 species
AGUUUGCGUAAGGGAUAGAGGCGGUAUCCUUUUAUGUAGUGAAACGGAGUAAAAGAUAUAGCCGAAAGCCCGACCCGUA